AGUGAACGCUGGCGGCGUGGAUUAGGCAUGCAAGUCGAGCGAUGAUUUCUUUAGAGACAGUCCCUUUACGGGGACAGCCCCUAUGAGAUCAUAGCGGCAAACUGGUGAGUAACAGGUGAGUAAUCUACCUCUAUAUCGGGGAUAGCCUUGCGAAAGCGAGGGUAAUACCUGAUGUGUCCCCUACCACAAAAGUGGUGAGGGAUAAAGGCAUCCGUAAGGAUGCUGUAUAGAGAUGAACUCGUCUCCUAUCAGCUAGUUGGUAGGGUAAUGGCCUACCAAGGCUUUGACGGGUAGCUGGCCUGAGAGGGCGGUCAGCCACAUGGGGACUGAGACACUGCCCCGACUCCUACGGGAGGCUGCAGUCGAGGAUAUUUAGCAAUGGGCGAAAGCCUGACUAUGCGACGCCGCGUGAGGGAUGAAGGUCUUCGGAUUGUAAACCUCUUUCGAUGGGGAAGAAUUCAGACGGUACCCAGAGAAGAAGCCAUGGCUAACUCCGUGCCAGCAGCCGCGGUAAUACGGAGAUGGCAAGCGUUACUCGGAUUUACUGGGUGUAAAGGGCAGGUAGGCGUCUCGAUAAGUUCUUGGUGAAAUCCUUCUGCUUAACAGAAGAACUGCCGAGAAAACUAUCGAGAUUGAGACUAGAAGAGGAGAGUGGAAUUCCCGGUGUAAGGGUGAAAUCUGUAGAUAUCGGGAGGAACACCAGUAGCGAAGGCGACUCUCUGGUCUAGACCUGACGCUGAGCUGCGAAAGCUAGGGGAGCAAACAGAAUUAGAUACUCUGGUAGUCCUAGCCGUAAACGAUGAGCACUAGGUGUUGGCUCUGAAUAAGGGUCAGUGCCGUAAGAUAACUCGUUAAGUGCUCCACCUGGGGACUACGGCCGCAAGGCUAAAACUCAAAGGAAUUGACG
rnacentral:rRNA from 1 species